rnacentral:rRNA from 1 species
GGGGGAACCGGCGUAAGGGGCAGUAAGGCGUAGGUACCUACCCCCAGGUCCGGGAUAGCCCGCCGAGAGGCGGGGUAAUACCGGAUGACCUCGGGAGAGCAAAGCUCCGGCGCCUGAGGCGGGGCCUACGUGAUAUUACCUAGUUGGCGGGGUAACGGCCCACCAAGGGGGAGAUGUCUAGCGGGUGUGAGAGCACGACCCGCGCCACUCGCACUGAGACACUGGCGAGACACCUACGGGUGGCUGCAGUCGAGGAUCUUCGGCAAUGGGGGCAACCCUGACCGAGCGAUGCCGCGUGGGCGAUGAAGGCCUUCGGGUUGUAAAGCCCUGUCGAGGGGGAGAAAGCCGCAAGGCGGAUCCAUCCCUGGAGGAAGCUCGGGCUAAGUUCGUGCCAGCAGCCGCGGUAAGACGAACCGAGCGAACGUUGUUCGGAAUCACUGGGCUUAAAAGGCGCGUAGGCGGGCUGCCGCGUCUGUGGUUGAAUCCUCCGGCUCAACCGGAGAACGGCCCCGGGUACGGGCGGCCUCGAGGGGGGUAGGGGCGUGCGGAACUGUGGGUGGAGCGGUGAAAUGCGUUGAUAUCCACAGGAACUCCGGUGGCGAAGGCGGCACGCUGGACCCUCUCUGACGCUGAGGCGCGAAAGCCAGGGGAGCGAACGGGAUUAGAUACCCCGGUAGUCCUGGCCCUAAACGAUGAGAACUGGGUAGUAGCCCGGGCAUGGGGUUACUGCCGCAGCCAAGUGCUAAAGUUCUCCCGCCUGGGGA